GUGGAUUCAACCUGCUGAACACAUAUACUAAAAUUGGAACGAUACAGAGAAGAUUAGGGUGGCCACUGUACAAGGAUGACAUGCAAAUUCCAAGAUCACACACUUACAUAU
ensembl:snRNA U6 U6 spliceosomal RNA